GUGGCAGUUUUCCUACCCGUGGAUUUGGUCUCAACCUCCUCGUAUAACUUGUACCGCUGGGAAACAAACAGGCAUUUUGUGCAGUGGAGGCCCAUUCUACUUGCAAGACCACGCCUAUCCUCAGAUGCCAAGUCCCACGUGAGGGGUCCAUCACAGCCGGGUAUCUGUAGCUGGUGCAGUGAGACAACUUCAUUCCACAUCUCGGCUGUUUUCCCCAAGUGUAGAAGUCUGUGGGAAUUUUGGUUAGCCAGCCUAGCACUGUGGUGGGGUUUCAUCUCUCAGCUUCCUUGGCCGAAGAAGACAGUGGCACCUUCCCCGCACAAGCAUUUCCUCUUUUUCCGCAGCUGACGGAGUGUCCGAAACCAUCUUAUUCAUCUCCUCGGACAGUCUGCUGUAUGGUGCGGUCACAAAUAUAUCCAAAUACGAUCACCGGUCAGAAAGACAUUCACUCUUUUGAACUGUGGUGGAAGCAGUGAGGUGUCACCUAUUGAGAUGGACACAGUAUCCAAUACACUGAAGUCACAGGACUCAAAUUUCAUACAUGUUCACAGAGAGAGCUGGCUGUCGCCAUUGCUAGAGCUGCAUAUCAAGGAGAGGAUUAUUUGAUUGAAUUGACAACUCAGAUCUGCAU